GAGGUUUUCAUGGAGUGUUUUAGGCUCAUUGAAGCUUGUGUUCUUAAAUGUCUCAGCGCCUCGGAACACCUGCAUGAAAAGCCUCCCGUUGUAGAAGAGUUCCCGAGGUUAUCAUGGAGUGUUUUAGGCUCAUUGAAGCUCGUGUUUUUAAAUGUCUCGGCACCUUGGAAAGCCUGCAUGAAAACCCUCCUCUCGUUGUAGAAGAGUUCCCGAGGUCUUCACGGACUGUUUUAGGCUCAUUGAAGCUCGUGUUCUAAAAUGUCUCAGCACCUUGGAAAGCCUGCAUGAAAACCCUCCUCUCGUUGUAGAAGAGUUGCCGAGGUUUUCAUGGACUGUUUUAGGCUCACUAGCUCAUGUUUUUAAAUGUCUCGGCACCUCGGAAAGCCUCCAUGAAAACCCUCCCGUUCAGCGUUACCAAAUUAUCAUACUCAGAACAUCGUAUUUUCCUAUUUCUGAUCCAUAACAAUUGCAGAAAGACAUCGAUAAUUAACCAUCUGAACUCUAAUUGUAAAUGCAUAUCAUUAUCAGUAUAGGCUCGACAGUUUUGGGCCUCAAGUAGACGAAAAAUGUAUGCCUAGUACGACAAUCUGGUAAUGCUGCUCUCGUUGUAGAAGAAGUUGCCGAGGUUUUCAUGGACUGUUUAAGGCUCAUUGAAGCUCAUGUUUUUAAAUGUCUCAGCACAUCGGAAAGCCUCCAUGAAAACCCUCCCGUUGUAGAAGAGUUCCUGAGGUUUUCAUGGAGUGUUUUAGGCUCACUGAAGCUCGUGUUCUAAAAUGUCUCGGCACGUCAGAAAGCCUCCCGUUGUAGAAGAGUUCCCGAGGUUUUCAUGGACUGUUUUAGGCUCAUUGAAGCUCGUGUUCUUAAGUGUCUUGGCACCUCGGAACCCUUACACAAAAAGCCUCUUGUUGUAGAAGAAGUUGCCGAGGUUUUCAAGGACUGUUUUGUGAGUCUCGUUAUAGCCCCACACGACAUCCACACCAUGAACGGGAGAAAACACCCAUGAAAACCCGGUUACUCUUCUCUGUGGGCUGUGAGAAUAGUCAUGAUGGGAGCCUGGUACGUUUAAUUAAAGAAACAGACUUCAGUUUCAUAGAGGCAAGUCUUAGGGAACCAAACCCAGUCAAUCUCUACGUCUGACGCCUCGCACCAUGUAGCUUUGCCGUCACCUUCUAUGCGUUAGUCUAGCCAAAUAAACAAACAGGCAUGCAUGGCCAAGGGGUGCAGGGGAAGACGCCCACACGUAAGGUACACGCACAGUCAUGGGCGGAGUGAGCUACAGAGGAAGGCAGGGGACUCACAGAGGCCGGCAGUGUUGACAGCUGACGGAAAGCGUAAAGUGUACUGGACCUAAGACUGACCCCUGCGGAACAUCAACAUCGCUGCUACAAGAAUACCAGGUCUGAUAAACUAACCUGUCCAGUCUGACCCUUGCUGAACGUCAACAUCGCCGCUACAAGAAUACCAGGUCUGAUAAACUAACCUGUCCAGUCUGACCCUUGCUGAACGUCAACAUCGCCACUACAAGAAUACCAGGUCUGAUAUACUAACCUGUCCAGUCUGACCCUUGCUGAACGUCAACAUCGCCGCUACAAGAAUACCAGGUCUGAUAUACUAACCUGUCCAGUCUGACCCUUGCUGAACGUCAACAUCGCCGCUACAAGAAUACCAGGUCUGAUAUACUAACCUGUCCAGUCUGACCCUUGCUGAACGUCAAUAUUGCCACUACAAGAAUACCAGGUCUGAUAUACUAACCUGUCCAGUCUGACCCUUGCUGAACGUCAAUAUUGCCACUACAAGAAUACCAGGUCUGAUAUACUAACCUGUCCAGUCUGACCCUUGCUGAACGUCAAUAUUGCCACUACAAGAAUACCAGGUCUGAUAUACUAACCUGUCCAGUCUGACCCUUGCUGAACGUCAAUAUCGCCACUACAAGAAUACCAGGUCUGAUAUACUAACCCGUCCAGUCUGACCCUUGCUGAACGUCAAUAUCGCCA